UCCUGUUCCGGUUGCCGCGGCGAUUCGGUUGCCUAGCAAGAGGCGAGGUUUAGGUAAAGCCAGGCGAACGACCUGUGGGGCCCUGGAUGGGUGUGGCCAGGAGUUAGAGGCUCCUGAUGUAGUAUCUCCCCACGUGUUAGUGGGCGCGCACUCCUUGUCAUUUGGGUCUUUGGUGAGGAACAGACCAAUGCCGUGUUUCUUGGCUCAGAAAAAUACCCAGCACCAGGAAAAAGUUCAAGGUCACCCUCAGCUAAAUAAAGAAUCUCUUUUGGGCUUGUUCA
rnacentral:lncRNA from 1 species